AUGGUGAAGAAACAGAUAGACGGGUCCAUCAAUCAUUCGAUUCAUUCAUUAUUUACACACACACACACACACACUCCACCCCUUACUCUCUCUUUCUGUCUUUCUCCACUCCUUACUCUCUCUUUCUCCACUCCUUACUCUCUCUUUCUCCACUCCUUACUCUCUCUUUCUCCACUCCUUACUCUCUCUUUCUCCACUCCUUACUCUCUCUUUCUCCACUCCUUACUCUCUCUUUCUCCACUCCUUACUCUCUUUCUCCUCUCCUUACUCUCUCUUUCUCCACUCCUUACUCUCUCUUUCUCCACUCCUUACUCUCUCUUUCUCCACUCCUUACUCUCUCUUUCUCCUCUCCUUACUCUCUCUUUCUCCACUCCUUACUCUCUCUUUCUCCACUCCUUACUCUCUCUUUCUGUCUUUCUCCACUCCUUACUCUCUCUUUCUGUCUUUCUCCACUCCUUACUCUCUCUUUCUCCACUCCUUACUCUCUCUUUCUCCACUCCUUACUCUCUCUUUCUGUCUUUCUCUACUCCUUACUCUCUCUUUCUCCACUCCUUACUCUCUCUUUCUGUCUUUCUCCACUCCUUACUUUCUCUUUCUCCACUCCUUACUCUCUCUUUCUGUCUUUCUCCACUCCUUACUCUCUCUUUCUCCACUCCUUACUCUCUCUUUCUCCUCUCCUUACUCUCUCUUUCUGUCUUUCUCUACUCCUUACUCUCUCUUUCUCCACUCCUUACUCUGUCUUUCUGUCUUUCUCCACUCAUUACUCUCUCUUUCUCCUCUCCUUACUCUCUCUUUCUGUCUUUCUCUACUCCUUACUCCCUCUUUCUCCACUCCUUACUUUCUCUUUCUCCACCCCUUACUCUCUCUUUCUCUCUUUCUCCACUCCUUACUCUCUCUUUUUGUCUUUCUCCACUCCUUACUCUCUCUUUCUGUCUUUCUAUACUCCUUACUCUCUCUUUCUCCACUCCUUACUCUCUCUUUCUGUCUUUCUCCACUCCUUACUCUCUCUUUCUCCACUCCUUACUCUCUCUUUCUCCACUCCUUACUCUCUCUUUCUGUCUUUCUCCACUCCUUACUCUCUCUUUCUCCACUCCUUACUCUCUCUUUCUGUCUUUCUCCACUCCUUACUCUCUCUUUCUCAACUUUGUGAACAGAGCUCCGGGAUCAGCUUGCUUAGGGGGCUCUUCUCCAUGUUUAUUUCUCAAUAGGUGA
rnacentral:lncRNA from 1 species